rnacentral:rRNA from 1 species
AUUGAACGCUGGCGGCAGGCCUAACACAUGCAAGUCGAGCGGAGCGGCGGACGGGUGAGUAAUGUCUGGGAAACUGCCCAUUAGUGGGGGACAACAUCUCGAAAGGGGUGCUAAUACCCCAUACUAAUAGAUGAGCCUAAGUCGGAUUAGCUAGUUGGUGGGGUAAAGGCCUACCAAGGCGACGAUCUGUAGCGGGUCUGAGAGGAUGAUCCACCAAACUGGGACUGAGAAACGGGCCAGAAGCCCUCGGGGGGGAGGAGUGGGGAAUAAUGGCAAAUUGGGGGAACGCUGAACCAGCCAAGGCGGGGGUGUGAAGAAGGCCGUAUGGUUGUAAAGCAACUUAAGCGAGGAAGCGUUACUCGCAGAAUAAGCACCGGCUAACUCUGUGCCAGCAGCCGCGGUAAUUC